GCAGCUUCCAGCGCCCCCUCCCCACCUCGCGCGCUCGCGUGCCAGACAGCCCCGAGAUCCAAUCGCGGCGCGGCGCCCCGACGGCCGCAGCCAAUCAGAGGACGCCGACUGCACCGUGCCCUCCUCUGGGCUGAGGACGCGGAGACGGUGGACAACAAAGGGGCUCAGCGUGGCGGCCAGACAAAGCGGAGACGUGAGGGAUGCCGCCGAGCCAGCCCAGGGGAAGUUGGGAACAAAGCUGGGGGCGGGGAACGGGAGGGCGACGACUCAAGAGAAGUGACCUAGCUAAGAAGUCCCUUUGUGUCCGGUGCUGCUGUGGGAAAGCCCAAACUUGAGGAAAUCCGAGUGGUCCGGCCUCACCCUCCCGCCCACCUGGGCCUGAGGCGAGGCGAGGCUGCGCCGGGACAACGCCCGCCCGCGUGCAACCAGCUGGGAGGGAAACAGGUCCUCCCUGGAGCGCUCCAGCUCGAGCCGGGCAGCCGACCCUGUUAAAGGGCCCGCCUCCUGCACGGGCUGCUGGAGGAAGUGCAGCCUGGGUGGCCAGAGCAUGCGCACAACAAGCGCAGUAAAACAUCCAGCUGAGGCAAACCUGUGUUCUACCAAAAGACAUAGAGACAACUGACCGAAAAUGGCCUGAUACAGAGAGCCAAUGAGGAACAGACACGACCUAUCAAUGGACCAAUGGGACACUGGGA